CCCUCCAUCUCGUCAGCGCGCAGCCUAGGGAGCACGUCGAGCUGUAUUUUCUUCUGUCGUUGCUGCUUCUGCCCGCUGUCCUGCAGAGGGUCACUCCGCUUCUUCGGCCUUCUUGCUCGUGGCGUUUCCGUCUUCGCUGGACGUGCAGAGCUCGCCCAGGCGCUCGCUCCGUUCUGCUUUCCGCCGUCAUUUUUCCUUCCCCGUGCCCCCCCCCCUCUUCCUUCCCUCCGACACGCACACACACACCUCACGACUCUCCUGUCCUCCACGUGCUCCGUGCAUUCUUCGAAAUGGAGCCAAAGAGAAGUGGCAACAUGGCGUGUGUGGAGCGAGAGCGAGAGCGCAACUAUCGGAGACAUCUCGAACGGCUGAGCAAUCAGCGGUGCCGCAUUGAUAAUACGAUACCGGAUAGCUACGCCUAUGUGAGGCCGAUCGGCUCCAUGCGCGGAAACCCCGCGCGUGUGGAGCAGGUGAACCGUGAUAACCAGAAGCUGGUGGAGAAGAUGGUGCACAUCAUGAACACCCGCGGGGGCGUGGACACCUCGGAGCCGUGGCGUGACUGCAACAAGGCGAUCAACUCGCAGCGGCGUCGCAACCAGGAGCAGGCCAAGAUUGCGCUGGAGAACGCGAAGUUGCUAGAGCGCUUGGAGCGAGCGCAGCCGACGUACCGCUCAGAGAAGUUUGAGGCGGACCGUCGCCGGAACGAAGAGUUCGCUGCCCGCGCUAGCCGCUACCCCUACCAGCCUAUGGACAGGACGAGCUAUUAAAGGAAGCGUCGUUUUUCAACUUGCCAUUGCUGCUCUCGGCGACUGUUACGGGGAGAUGCUAUACCUGUCCCUCAUGCAGGUUGCUCAGCGCAGAAACGAGCAUAUUGCUCCCACCAACUCUGCAUCUUCUCUCCCUUGACUGUCGCUUCUCUAAACGUCAUGUAUGCGAAUUCUCGUUUUCUUUUGGGUGCUUGCAAUCCCCAUUGCCUGACUGUCUUCCGUUUGUGCGCCUCGCAUGCACCGGUGUGGAGCCGUUGGUAGUGCUGCUGCCCUUGUUGGGGCGUGAUGCCGGCGUUUUGAUGUUUCUUGCUUCUUCGAGUCGUCAAACCGAUUCUCUUUUUUUUUCGUAGACGGCAAUCGCAAAAUCAGAGCGCGCCCAAGCAUCGACUCAGAUGCUGCCAUGU
rnacentral:misc_RNA from 1 species